CCUACGAGGUGCAGCAGUGAGGAAUAUUUGUCAAUGGGCGGACGCCUGAACCAGCCAAGUAGCGUGCGGGAUGAAUGCCCUACGGGUCGUAAACCGCUUUUGCACGGGGAUAACACCCUCCACGUGUGGCGGUAUGCAGGUACCGUGCGAAUAAGGGCCGGCUAAUUCCGUGCCAGCAGCCGCGGUAAUACGGAAGGACCGAACGUUAUCCGGAUUCCUUGGGCUUAAAGGGCGCGUAGGCGGGCGUUCAAGUCAGCGGUAAAAUCGCGCGGCUCAACCGCGCCCCGCAGUUGAAACUGGACGCGUUGGGUUCACAACAGGCAGGCGGAAUUCGUGGGGUAGCGGUGAAAUGCAUAGAUAUCACGAGGAACCCCGAUUGCGAAGGCAGCAUGCCGGGGUGCGACUGACGCUGAGGCUCGAAGGUGUGGGUAUCAAACAGGAUUAGAUACCCGUGUAGUC
rnacentral:rRNA from 1 species